rnacentral:rRNA from 1 species
UAUCAUCAGGAGGCACCCCCGAUGGCGAAGGCAGAUCUCCCCCCCCCUCACCUGCCGCUGAGGAGCGAAAGGGUGGGGAGCAAACAGUCUUAGAUUCCCUGGUAGUCCACCCCGUAAACGUUGGGAACUAGUUGUGGGGUCCAUUCCACGGAUUCCGUGACGCAGCUAACGCAUUAAGUUCCCCCCCUGGGGAGUACGGCCGCAAGGCUAAAACUCAAAGGAAUUGACGGGGACCCGCACAAGCGGCGGAGCAUGCGGAUUAAUUCGAUGCAACGCGAAGAACCUUACCAAGGCUUGACAUACACGAGAACGCUGCAGAAAUGUAGAACUCUUUGGACACUCGUGAACAGGUGGUGCAUGGUUGUCGUCAGCUCGUGUCGUGAGAUGUUGGGUUAAGUCCCGCAACGAGCGCAACCCUCGUUCUAUGUUGCCAGCACGUAAUGGUGGGAACUCAUGGGAUACUGCCGGGGUCAACUCGGAGGAAGGUGGGGAUGACGUCAAAUCAUCAUGCCCCUUAUGUCUUGGGCUUCACGCAUGCUACAAUGGCCGGUACAAAGGGCUGCAAUACCGUGAGGUGGAGCGAAUCCCAAAAAGCCGGUCCCAGUUCGGAUUGAGGUCUGCAACUCGACCUCAUGAAGUCGGAGUCGCUAGUAAUCGCAGAUCAGCAACGCUGCGGUGAAUACGUUCCCGGGUCUUGUACACACCGCCCGUCAAGUCAUGAAAGUCGGUAACACCUGAAGCCGGUGGCCCAACCCUUGUGGAGGGAGCCGUCGAAGGUGGGAUCGGUAAUUAGGACUAAG